rnacentral:rRNA from 1 species
GAUGAACGCUGGCGGCGUGCCUAAUACAUGCAAGUCGAGCGAACAGACGAGGAGCUUGCUCCUCUGACGUUAGCGGCGGACGGGUGAGUAACACGUGGAUAACCUACCUAUAAGACUGGGAUAACUUCGGGAAACCGGAGCUAAUACCGGAUAAUAUAUUGAACCGCAUGGUUCAAUAGUGAAAGACGGUUUUGCUGUCACUUAUAGAUGGAUCCGCGCCGCAUUAGCUAGUUGGUAAGGUAACGGCUUACCAAGGCAACGAUGCGUAGCCGACCUGAGAGGGUGAUCGGCCACACUGGAACUGAGACACGGUCCAGACUCCUACGGGAGGCAGCAGUAGGGAAUCUUCCGCAAUGGGCGAAAGCUUGACGGAGCAACGCCGCUUGAGUGAUGAAGGUCUUCGGAUCGUAAAACUCUGUUAUUAGGGAAGAACAAAUGUGUAAGUAACUAUGCACGUCUUGACGGUACCUAAUCAGAAAGCCACGGCUAACUACGUG